GCGCCAGCGAUGGCCGCUUGCGAGGUGCUGCAUGGUUGUCGUCAGCUCGUGCCGUGAGGUGUCGGGUUAAGGUCCCAUAACGAGCGCAACCCCUACCUGCUAGUUGCCAGCGGGUCAUGCCGGGGACUCUAGCGGAACUGCCAGCGUAAGCUGCGAGGAAGGUGGGGAUGACGUCAAAUCAGCACGGCCCUUACGUCCAGGGCUACACACGUGUUACAAUGGCCGGUACAGAGGGCAGCCACCCCGCGAGGGGGCGCGAAUCCCGAAAGCCGGUCCCAGUUCGGAUCGGAGUCUGCAACCCGACUCCGUGAAGCUGGAUUCGCUAGUAAUCGCGCAUCAGCCACGGCGCGGUGAAUACGUUCCCGGGCCUU
rnacentral:rRNA from 1 species